GAGCGGCGAACGGGUGAGUAACACGUGAGUAACCUGCCCCUGACUCUGGGAUAAGCCCGGGAAACUGGGUCUAAUACCGGAUACGACACCUCCUGGCAUCGGGUGGGUGUGGAAAGUUUUUUCGGUUGGGGAUGGACUCGCGGCCUAUCAGCUUGUUGGUGGGGUAAUGGCCUACCAAGGCGACGACGGGUAGCCGGCCUGAGAGGGCGACCGGCCACACUGGGACUGAGACACGGCCCAGACUCCUACGGGAGGCAGCAGUGGGGAAUAUUGCGCAAUGGGCGAAAGCCUGACGCAGCGACGCCGCGUGGGGGAUGACGGCCUUCGGGUUGUAAACCUCUUUCAGCAGGGACGAAGUUGACGUGUACCUGCAGAAGAAGCGCCGGCUAACUACGUGCCAGCAGCCGCGGUAAUACGUAGGGCGCAAGCGUUGUCCGGAAUUAUUGGGCGUAAAGAGCUCGUAGGUGGCUUGUCACGUCGGGUGUGAAAGCUUGGGGCUUAACUCCAGGUCUGCAUUCGAUACGGGCUGGCUAGAGGUAGGUAGGGGAGAACGGAAUUCCUGGUGUAGCGGUGAAAUGCGCAGAUAUCAGGAGGAACACCGGUGGCGAAGGCGGUUCUCUGGGCCUUACCUGACGCUGAGGAGCGAAAGCGUGGGGAGCGAACAGGAUUAGAUACCCUGGUAGUCCACGCUGUAAACGUUGGGCGCUAGGUGUGGGGACCUUCCACGGUUUCCGCGCCGUAGCUAACGCAUUAAGCGCCCCGCCUGGGGAGUACGGCCGCAAGGCUAAAACUCAAAGGAAUUGACGGGGGCCCGCACAAGCGGCGGAGCAUGUUGCUUAAUUCGACGCAACGCGAAGAACCUUACCAAGGCUUGACAUCGCCCGGAAAGCUCCAGAGAUGGAGCCCUCUUCGGACUGGGUGACAGGUGGUGCAUGGCUGUCGUCAGCUCGUGUCGUGAGAU
rnacentral:rRNA from 1 species